UACGGAGGGUGCAAGCGUUGCUCGGAAUUAUUGGGCGUAAAGGGUAGGUAGGUGGUCUUAUUUGUCUGGGGUGAAAGCCUUGAGCUUAACUCAAGAAGUGCCCCAGAAACGGUGAGACUAGAGUCCUGGAGAGGGUCGUGGAAUUCCCGGUGUAGCGGUGAAAUGCGUAGAGAUCGGGAAGAACAUCAGUGGCGAAGGCGGUCUGCUGGGCCGUUGCUGACGCUGAGGCGCGACAGCGUGGGGAGCAAACAGG
rnacentral:rRNA from 1 species